CCUACGGGAGGCAGCAGUAGGGAAUCUUCCACAAUGGGCGAAAGCCUGAUGGAGCAACGCCGCGUGGGUGGAGAAGGUCUUCGGAUCGUAAAACCCUGUUGUUAGAGAAGAAAGUGCGUGAGAGUAACUGUUCACGUUUCGACGGUAUCUAACCAGAAAGCCACGGCUAACUACGUGCCAGCAGCCGCGGUAAUACGUAGGUGGCAAGCGUUAUCCGGAUUGAUUGGGCGUAAAGGGAACGCAGGCGGUCUUUUAAGUCUGAUGUGAAAGCCUUCGGCUUAACCGGAGUAGUGCAUUGGAAACUGGGAGACUUGAGUGCAGAAGAGGAGAGUGGAACUACAUGUGUAGCGGUGAAAUGCGUAGAUAUAUGGAAGAACACCAGUGGCGAAAGCGGCUCUCUGGUCUGUAACUGACGCUGAGGUUCGAAAGCGUGGGUAGCAAACAGGAUUAGAUACCCGGGUAGUC
rnacentral:rRNA from 1 species